UUUAUUAAUUAAGAAAACUAGAUGUAUAUAUAUAUGCUGAAAUUUAUAAUAGAAUUUGAUGACGUGGUAGAUGACACGUAGGUUGCCACGUAAUUUGGCAUUAGAUUUUGGUAUAACUUUUUAGUGGACAUAGCAGGGCUCUUAAAAGAUUAAGAGUGUGUUUAUAAUAGAAUGUGAUGACGUGGUAGAUGAUACGUAGGAUGCCACGUAAUUUGGUAUUAUAUUUUGGUAUAACUUUUUAGUGGACGUAGCAGGGCUCUUAAGAGAUUAGG
rnacentral:lncRNA from 1 species